rnacentral:rRNA from 1 species
CCUACGGGUGGCUGCAGUGGGGAAUAUUGGACAAUGGGCGAAAGCCUGAUCCAGCCAUGCCGCGUGUGUGAAGAAGGCCUUCGGGUUGUAAAGCACUUUCAGUGGGGAAGAAAGCCUUGGGGCUAAUACCCUCGAGGAAGGACAUCACCCACAGAAGAAGCACCGGCUAACUCCGUGCCAGCAGCCGCGGUAAUACGGAGGGUGCGAGCGUUAAUCGGAAUUACUGGGCGUAAAGCGCGCGUAGGCGGUCUGAUAAGCCGGUUGUGAAAGCCCCGGGCUCAACCUGGGAACGGCAUCCGGAACUGGCAGGCUAGAGUGCAGGAGAGGAGGGUAGAAUUCCCGGUGUAGCGGUGAAAUGCGUAGAGAUCGGGAGGAAUACCAGUGGCGAAGGCGGCCUUCUGGACUGACACUGACGCUGAGGUGCGAAAGCGUGGGUAGCAAACAGGAUUAGAUACCCGGGUAGUC